GAUGAACGCUGGCGGCGUGCCUAAUACAUGCAAGUCGAGCGAACGGACGAGAAGCUUGCUUCUCUGAUGUUAGCGGCGGAAGGGUGUGUAACACGUGGAUAACCUACCUAUAAGACUGGGAUAACUCCGGGAAAAAGUAGCUAAUAUCGGAUAAUAUUUUGAACCGCAUGGUUCAAAAGUGAAAGACGGUCUUGCUGUCACUUAUAGAUGGAACCGCGCUGCAUUAGCUAGUUGGUAAGGUAACGGCUUACCAAGGCAUCGAUGCAUAGCCGACCUGAGAGAGGGAUCGACCACACUGGAACUGAGACACGGCCCAGACUCCUACGGGAGGCGGCAGUAGGAAAUCUUCCGCAAUGGGCGAAAGCCUGACGGGGCAACGCCGCGUGAGUGAUGAAGGUCUUCGGAUCGUAAAACUCUGUUAUUAGGAAGAAACAUAUGUGUAAGUAACUGUACAAAUCUUGACGGUACCUAAUCAGAAAGCCACGGCUAACUACGUG
rnacentral:rRNA from 1 species